rnacentral:rRNA from 1 species
CCUACGGGAGGCAGCAGUGGGGAAUAUUGCGCAAUGGGCGAAAGCCUGACGCAGCGACGUCGCGUGAGGGAUGAAGGUCUUCGGAUCGUAAACCUCUGUCAGCAGGGAAGAACGGUCACUGUGCUAAUCAGCAGUGAAUUGACGGUACCUGCAAAGGAAGCACAGGCUAACUCCGUGCCAGAAGCCGCGGUAAUACGGAGGGUGCGAGCGUUAAUCGGAAUUGCUGGGCGUAAAGCGCUCGUAGACGGUAUGUCAAGUCAAGGGUGAAAUCCCCGCGCUCAACGUGGGAACUGCCUUUGAAACUGGCAGACUUGAGUGUGUGUGAGGAUAGUGGAAUUCGAGGUGUAGGAGUGAAAUCCGUAGAUAUCUGGAGGAACAUCAGUGGCGAAGGCGACUAUCUGGCACAUAACUGACGCUGAGGAGCGAAAGCGUGGGUAGCAAACAGGAUUAGAUACCCGAGUAGUC